rnacentral:rRNA from 1 species
UGGGGAAUAUUGCGCAAUGGGGGAAACCCUGACGCAGCGACGCCGCGUGGAGGAUGAAGGUCUUCGGAUUGUAAACUCCUGUUAAGAGGGAAGAAAAGCUUACGGUAAAUAAUCGUAAGUGUUGACGGUACCUCUAGAGAAAGCUCCGGCUAACUUCGUGCCAGCAGCCGCGGUAAUACGAAGGGAGCGAGCGUUAUUCGGAAUAACUGGGCGUAAAGAGCGUGUAGGUGGUUAUGUAAGUCGAUUGUUAAAGAUCACGGCUCAACUGUGAGAAUGCGGUCGAAACUGCAAAACUAGAGGUUAGGAGAGAGAAGUGGAAUUCUCGGAGUAGCGGUAAAAUGCGUAGAUCUCGAGAGGAACACCGAUGGCGAAGGCAGCUUCUUGGCCUAUACCUGACACUGGAGCGCGAAAGCGUGGGGAGCAAACAGG